UCCAUCGUUGUCCAGUCCCGUUAGGAUAUCUGGCUUUCACCCAGACGACCCGGGUUCAAAUCCCGGCGAUGGAA
rfam:Triticum aestivum genome assembly, contig: Triticum_aestivum_CS42_TGACv1_scaffold_458102_5DS